rnacentral:lncRNA from 1 species
AUGUUCAUGAAAAAGGGUGUGAAAAGUAAAACUGGAGGUGCAUUUCCUCUUUUAUCAAUAUUCAAGAAUCGAGCCUCAGUUCAAACAAUACCUUUUGGAGGGCAAGGGGGUUUGAAGAGAGCUUAUCAAGGAAAUCUUUCACAGUCAUGAUCUUUUCAUUCUCGAGACGCUUACAAAUCGAGCCUCAGUUCAGUCACUGAGAUCGCAGGGAAGACUGGAAGAGGACGCUCAAGUCUCCAUGUGGUGGCUAGGGUUUCAAUUGCGGUUUCAGGAAGCAUCAGUGGAACUCAAUGGUGAUGAAGAUGGCUUCAAGAAGCUCCGGCGAAAAACCUAGGGUUUCGGCUAUAUUCCGGUGAAGUUCCGGUAUAAGGACUAAUGCUUGCAUAUUCCAUUUUCAAGUAGAUCGGUGACCGAUUCGUCUGCGUGUGUGUGCUUCUGGUGGAUUAGAGGUAACCGUACACAUUAGGGUUCACUCUAUCUGAAACAAUACCUUAGGGUGACUGAACUACCAGAUGGUUCUUUGACGAUUUGGUACUCUCUCACGUCAGCCCAGCCGUUAAUCCGGCGACUCUAGCGACGGUGGUGACUGAUGGUGGUCUAUCCGAAGAUGACUUAGGGCUCCGCCGUGAGCGCUAUUGGUGAAGCCGGUUUGGUCAAUCGAACGCGACGCGUUGGCGGUGAUACAAUCGUUAACGACGGCGAUGGUGAUGAGAAGUUUGAGGCGAACAAGCGAACUCGCAGAAAUACAAAAGGUUUACUACUUUAUCAUGAUAUUAAUGUGUUAUCCACCAGGUACUCUAUACUCCGCCUUGAUAAUCUGAUAAUGAUACCAGGCUCCGGCUGCUAGGCGUGGAGCAUCUGCCUCCUGGUAGAGGGAGGUUAAGUGAUUUCUGAAUUAGAUGAAAACCUAUGCAACCGUUUUUUCAUGGAGAACAACUUCUAUUGUUUUUGUUUAUGUCUUGAAACUAGAUUUGGAUUGAUUGAUGCAACCCUAUGGAAGGAAAUAGCCUCUUCGUUCGAUAAAGAAGCUAUGACAUACUAUAUGAAAGUUACGGAGUACGAUGUUUGGAGAACACAGUAAAAAGGAUAAGCGUGUAGUUCAACCAAGCACUUUUAAACUAACAAAUAUCUCCAUUGCGGGGAGAGUUCAGCUGGCAUCUACAACAGCAACACACGUCUAUCUAAACCCAACUACCGGCCCUAUGAAGUCAAUCGCCACUAGAGACCAGGAUAGCAACAGAUUGCCAUCUACCGUAGAAUUUAGUCGCGCCAAAGAAAAGUCGAAAGAAUCCAUAGGAAAUUAACCAAUCGUCGCAUAUUAACUACAACAAAAAACCGAACAAACCGCUGCAAGUAUAUCCUCCACCUACCAAAUCUGAAUUCAGAUUUUUAUACAUGUCAUCAGGUUUACAUACAUUCUACUCAAUCCAUUACGAAGCAUACAAGGUCAAGGUAGUGUAUUGUUAUACAAUACUGGUACAAGUCUCCCACCUGCUUAUACUUUAUUUCAAAACCAUGUACUCUAUUUAUUAUUGCUUUGGAGGCGAGGCCACAACUUAUCCUAAAUGCAGAAAAAAAGAUCUUGGAGCAGUGUUGUUGAUCUGCAUGAUAGAGUAUCGCACAUUUAUGGGGGCCUGUUAUACAUGAUGGGUGCUAAAGAGAAUUUAUGUAUGAUAGUUUUGAAUGAUUAGUUUUGAAUGAUUAACAUAAGCAGAUGUAAACUGUCUUUUAUUUGCAGUAUGACAAGAAAGACAAUGGUUUUACAUUACCUUGGUGGUUAUGGUAGCCCCAUUAUCCAGUCCACAGCCAAAAUUUGUAUACUACUUUUUUUUUUUUUUGAAAAUUAUU